rnacentral:lncRNA from 1 species
CAUGGUGUAAAAAUAAAGGCCUAGUUAUUGACUCUGAGAACCAUGUGAACAAAUUAAACGUGAUCCAUGGGGCUCAUUAGCAUGGAGUGGAGUUUAUCAGAAGAGGUUUUCAGAACCUAAUUAAUUAAGCCCCCAUCAAAUAGAUGUAUUCGAUUAAUAUGACUCCAUUCUGAGUUUGAACAUCAACAUUAAUUAACCCCAUAAUUGAUACAUUUCCCAUCCAUGUAAGAAACAUUCAUC